CAAGCGUUGUCCGGAAUUAUUGGGCGUAAAGAGCGCGUAGGCGGUCUGUUAAGUGUAGAGUGAAAGCUCCGGGCUCAACCCGGAAACCGCUCUGCAUACUGGCAGACUGGAGGGACGCAGAGGUCUGUGGAAUUCCUGGUGUAACGGUGAAAUGUGUUGAUAUCAGGAGGAACACCCAUGGCGAAGGCAGCAGACUGGGCGUUUCCUGACGCUGAGGCGCGAAAGCGUGGGUAGCAAACAGG
rnacentral:rRNA from 1 species